GCCGAGCUCAGUAACGUGGGCUUGUAACUCAAGUGAGGGCAUUAAUGUGGUGGAAUAUUGGGCCUGUUCAGAUGGCAGGGUUUGGGUGGCUAAUUUCUGGCCUGCCCUAUCCAAGCUCAGAGUUUGGUCACGUGGCCCGAACGAACGUAUGGGCUGCUUGGCUCCUAAAGCGGGGUGGACCGCGUGAGGCUGGUUUCACAGAGCAACGAAUAGCUCCCGCUCUGUGCAGUGGAAGGAUAACUGGCCGGUGUCAUCUAAGCCCAAUAAAUGCCUGAUGGGCUGCUCUAAUUAAACUACCACUUUU
rfam:Nicotiana sylvestris Nsyl_contig37250, whole genome shotgun sequence.